GCGUUGUUGGUGUAGUGGUAACAUACAACCCUUCCAAGGUUGUGCGAUGGGUUCGAUUCCCAUACAACGCA
rfam:Aspergillus versicolor CBS 583.65 unplaced genomic scaffold ASPVEscaffold_3, whole genome shotgun sequence.